GAGCGAGCACAGCUCUUUUAGAAUUUUUCUAGCAAGAUUGCUGAGUUUGGUCAGAAAAUGCAA
ensembl:snRNA predicted gene, 27851